rnacentral:pre_miRNA from 1 species
CUUGUACUCCUUCCGUCCGAAAAUACUUGUCAUUGAAAUGGAUGUAUCUAGAUGUAUUUUAGUUCUAGACACAUCCAUUUUGAUGACAACUAAUUCCGAACGGAGGGAGUACUUG